CGGAAGCCGGAAGGAAUGGGCUAAGGGGUUUGAGUGAGUGAUCAUGAAAGAAUGAAACAGAUGUUUUACAAGAAAAGUUUUCUGACCAAAGUUGAGGAGAUAUGGCAAUUCAGCCAACACGAACUAAGCAGCUUUCCUACACAACACCCAUCCUCCAUGAUGCUUCUGCACUGAAGACAGCCUACCCUGGACUGAGCCCUCUGAACCCAUAAACCAUAUAAUCCUCUUCUCCUUUAAAUUGUGUAUGUGGGUAUUUUGUCCACCAAGAAGAAAGCUAAUACAACUGUCAUAUGUUAUUUUUUCUCAAUUAAUAUUUUUGCCAUUUGUCUAAAGUUCCAAGCUAGAG
ensembl:lncRNA